GGUUAAGUUAUUAAGGGCGCAUGGUGGAUGCCUUGGCACUAGGAGCCGAUGAAGGACGUGACUAACUGCGAUAAGCUUCGGGGAGUUGUAAGUAAACUGUGAUCCGGAGAUUUCC
rnacentral:rRNA from 1 species